rnacentral:sRNA from 1 species
UGCUGAGCCAUCUCUCCAGCCUCAACUCUAUGUACUUUUAAUGUUUAGAGAACUUUGAAGUGCGAAUUUAACUAAUCAAAGGAAUUAAUCUUAUCCAAGUGAUGACAGCAUUAUGUUGGAUGGAAAAUACCCUAGGUUUUUUUCUUCCUGUCAGAUGCACAAUGAGAGUAAAAUUACAUAACCUCCUAUAUAUUUCAUCUUUGUUUUUAGGCAAAAGGGGAUGAAUAUAGUGUAUCGUGCAGACAACUGUGAAGUUGAUUGAUAUAAGAUUGUGAGAGUCCACCAUAUACUAUUUUUAAGUAGGGCUACAUUGGAACAAACACAUAACGUGGACCUGAGGAGAGAAGGCCAAUGAUGGAGAUGCAGAUUGAGAAGUUGUACCGCCGGCCAGUUAGCUCCUUGUUGUACCCACUAUGCUGGCAUUGCUAGAGUGUACUGCUGGAGCUGUCUAGUGCCUACUAGGUAACAAGACCCUGUUGCUAUCCAUCUUCUAGGGUAACUACAUAAUGAACCUAUCCAGAUGCCCCAGUGAAUUCCCCAAAGCACAAUCCUGUCCUCGGUACUUUUUCCAUAGAUGUGAUAAGAUCCUCUGGUGACAGGGACUUAAGAAAGGGUUUAAUAUGGUACACAGUCUAAGGUCCUUACAUAGCAAUUUCCUCUGCAGUGGCAUAUGUCAUCCUUGAAGAAAGCACAUUAAGACCCGGGGAAGGAAACAGUUCACAAGUCUCAGGAAUUAAUUAAAGCAAGUUUGCAAGGUCCCUUUCUCCCCAUGAUGAUCACAUGUGAAGACAACUGAGAAACCUUGCCCCUUGUCAAGCUGCCUGCAAGAUGCAGAGAACAUUCUAGAAGUCUGGCUUUUGUGAGUUGUCACCCACCCUCGAGUGGGCUAUUGCUGCUGCUAUAAGUAAUGUAUCCAUGCCCCUAUAAGUGACCUGUCACAUACACUAACCCCGAUAAACUCAUUGGUUCAUCAAGUUGAACUUGGGUGGUAUGACUUUGGCCCACGGGCAGUUCCCUAUCUGGAAUCUGUAGGUAUAUCUUCAUGUCUCUCCAGGAACAGUGUCCCACAGCAAGGGUACAAUCAGUUGUGACAGGAAAGGCAUGGCAGAGGCUGAGGCAGAGGGACACACUGCAUCUGCAGUGAAAGAGAAGAGACCAAUGAGUGUGUCUCUUCUUCAGACUGAGACUUGAUUUUCUGUACAGUUCAGGAUCUGCACACAGUGGAGGUCUUCCUAGCUCAGUCUAUAUCAAGAGAUUCCCAAAGGACAAUGUCCAGAGGCUCAUCUCCCCAGUAAUGGUAAACCUUAUCAAGUUGACAACUGAGGUUAACCAUCACGGCUACUCAACAUAUUGCCUGAAGUAUUGACUGUCGGAGUUCUCUUCACUUUGGGGAUGUGGAAGGCACUGUCUACUGUGUUCUCUGAGGCCAUACACAUGGAUCAGGCAGAACAGAACCUUUUGUAGUUAAGGUGACAGGUGGGGUAUAGCCCAAUCCUUGAGAAACAGAGGUUUAAUCAUAAAUAGUUGGUCUUUACUAUAAGACAGCUUUCAAGUCUAAGACAGAGGCAGUCUGGUCCUUCAGUGUGGUCAUUAGACACACAACAAUAGAUCCCCGGCUUCCAAAGGCAAGGUCACUGCUUGGUUAUUCUGAAUUGCUAAUGCCACUUCACCAAAAUCGCUGGUGAAGGUGAUUGGUCCAAUUUUUCAAGAAGGAACUUACACACCCAAUGGGAGAGAAGAGCAAACAAACUCAGGUAGGAACUCAGGUAGGGUUCCUCUUAGGACUUCCUGUUUCAAUCACAAAGGUUAACUGAAAACUACAGUAGCCCAAAGGAGACAAAACUAUCGAGAGUCAGUCACUCCACCAAGGAAAGAAAUGGAGCUGGCUGAGGCCAGCCUGAAGGUAAAGGGAACGAACAUGAAUGGUUUGUGGAAGAAGGGCUUCACGGAGACAGCCUCCAGCCUUCUGACGGAUUACAAAGUGACUUUCUAUAUCAGUUAUAGAAGUUUGAUCUUAUAUUGGUUCCUCAAGGUAACAGAACAUUCCAUCAAGUUGUGGCUGUGUAGUAGGGCUAGUACACGAGUCCCGGGGAGACAUGAACUAAUAUGUCUAAAUGAACUAAUAUGUAUAAACGGGGUAUUGACGACACACAAAAGAAACCAUACCACACUUCUCGCCUGGUGAGCCAGUGAGUGUAUUCAGGUUAUUUCAGGAGCAUGUUGGGCAGGCAGCUAAAGACAGUGACACGAUGUCAGAACUGAGAAGUCCCAAGAAGCCUGCAGCCCUGCAGCUGCCCGCUCACCUUGUGGCCUCCCUGAAGAGUGUCUUUUCCUUCAGCAAUUGCUCGCUGCCCGUAUGGACAUGGAGAGGGACCCGAGUCUUGUAACUUACUACAGCACAGCAUGAACCUUUUCUAUAGCCUCUGCAGUCCUGGGAGCACCUCUCCUCCCUCCAAAGAUGCUUCAGCAUGGAGGGGAUUCCAGCACUAUGAGGAAUCAUCUGCUGACUGUAGGGUGAUUCAUCUUCCAGGUUGGGGAGCGUUUUCAUUCAGAGGCCACGGUCUAACAGCUGCAGCGAAUAAUCAGAAACCAUGUGACUGACAAAGUCCCAGACAUUGACUCUCACUCACCAUGGGUUGAUUCAGUGUGCUCAGUCCUGAUGAUAGAACCACAAUGGAUUUGUCGAAUGAUCAUUGGAGCCAAGAGCAGGAACUCCCUUCAAACCAAUUCUGGCUUCUGAGACAUUUUAAUAACAUGUCUAUUUUAUACAUACAUUUACAUACAUGCAUAUGCAUGUAUUCUGCAUGCUGGGAUUCUUGUUUUAGUUAUUGGGCCACAAUAUAUUAGUGUCAUAUUUCUGAUGCAGUAGGAGAGUUCAAGGCACCCCCUGAACCUGUGACACGUUUGUCACCCUUUGGGAUUCUUGUACCACAUAUUCUAACAGCAUGUUCCAGGCUCAUCUCGGGUCUUCUCUAAACAAGGUCCAGAGCCAACGGUAUUCCAUGAAGUCUGUGGCUGACUGGGAUUUUACCAAGACUAGAAACUAAAAUGACGACAGCAAACCCAGCGUCCAGCUAGUCUUUGUGUUCACCUGAACACAGCAAAAGUACAGUGUGAAGUAUUCCUUCAGGCUGGCCUACCUGACAGCGUCAUUGAGUGCAGCCCUCACCCCAUAGCCGUGACCCUCAGGCCACCACACUGUUCUUGUGGCUUUGGAGCACUCUCAAAAACGUCUUCACUGGCAUAUUUCAGUUUCUCUCUCUCUCUCCAUCUAGAAGAGAAAGGACCCGCCAUCUUAAAAUUGUCAACGGUGUCUGGGAGCGAUCACAGUUGACUUGUUUCAAAUGAUCACAUUUAACAUGUGACAGAUAUCAAAGGUAGAUGACUUGGCAUCGUUUGCAUCCUGUUACUAGGCAACCCGACACAAACUGCUCCUGAAAAAUUGCUCGCUUACUGGUGUUUGCUUCUCCGAAGCAGGAUUUUAUCUGCUUGUCUCCAGCAAUCAGCUUAGCGCCUGACAGGCAGGAAGCAGUUGUCUUUGCACAUAGCCAGGAGAUGCACAGCAUAGUUGGGGGGAACUCCUUGGAGGAAGUAGAUUGCUGUAAUGCGUUGUUAGGAUCUAUAUCUUGCUCUGGCUCCCUCCCAAACCCCUUUUCUGUCUCCCACAGGCCCUGCCAUGCAAUAAACUAGCACCUCCAAAUACUGUGACCUAAACAAACCCUUCUGCCCAUUCAGCUGCUUCCCUUAAGCAUUUGAUCAUAGUGACCGACAGAAAACCAGACGAACACGGUAGGAAAUUCUAAGAUAACUUAUGCAUGAUGAAUCUUGUUCUGCAAACAUGGGUGCCUGAGUCUGGAUCCCCAGCAUCCUGGUAAAAGCUGGAGAAGGGAGGGGCCCAUGUCUGUAACCCCAAUGCUAAGGGGAAGUAGAGACCAGUGCCAGUCCAGCCAAAUGGGAAGAUCAAAGCUCCACAAAAGGCAGUUUACAUACAUACAUACACACAUACAUACACACAUACAUACAUACCACACACACACACACACAUAUACACGUGCAUGCACACACACUGGCAUGCGCGAAUAAAUAAAACCAAUUACCAAUUUUCUAUUUCGUCUUGUUAUACUUAAUCACCCCUCAUUAUACUCAAUCACUCUCCCCUUAGCCCACAAACGGAAAGAUCAAUUAUUAUUAUUAUUUUUUUUUUUAGUGGA